GAUGAACGCUGGCGGCGUGCCUAAUACAUGCAAGUCGAGCGAACGGACGAGAAGCUUGCUUCUCUGAUGUUAGCGGCGGACGGGUGAGUAACACGUGGAUAACCUACCUAUAAGACUGGGAUAACUUCGGGAAACCGGAGCUAAUACCGGAUAAUAUUUUGAACCGCAUGGUUCAAAAGUGAAAGACGGUCUUGCUGUCACUUAUAGAUGGAUCCGCGCUGCAUUAGCUAGUUGGUAAGGUAACGGCUUACCAAGGCAACGAUGCAUAGCCGACCUGAGAGGGUGAUCGGCCACACUGGAACUGAGACACGGUCCAGACUCCUACGGGAGGCAGCAGUAGGGAAUCUUCCGCAAUGGGCGAAAGCCUGACGGAGCAACGCCGCGUGAGUGAUGAAGGUCUUCGGAUCGUAAAACUCUGUUAUUAGGGAAGAACAUAUGUGUAAGUAACUGUGCACAUCUUGACGGUACCUAAUCAGAAAGCCACGGCUAACUACGUGCCAGCAGCCGCGGUAAUACGUAGGUGGCAAGCGUUAUCCGGAAUUAUUGGGCGUAAAGCACGCGUAGGCGGUUUUUUAAGUCUGAUGUGAAAGCCCACGGCUCAACCGUGGAGGGUCAUUGGAAACUGGAAAACUUGAGUGCAGAAGAGGAAAGUGGAAUUCCAUGUGUAGCGGUGAAAUGCGCAGAGAUAUGGAGGAACACCAGUGGCGAAGGCGACUUUCUGGUCUGUAACUGACGCUGAUGUGCGAAAGCGUGGGGAUCAAACAGGAUUAGAUACCCUGGUAGUCCACGCCGUAAACGAUGAGUGCUAAGUGUUAGGGGGUUUCCGCCCCUUAGUGCUGCAGCUAACGCAUUAAGCACUCCGCCUGGGGAGUACGACCGCAAGGUUGAAACUCAAAGGAAUUGACGGGGACCCGCACAAGCGGUGGAGCAUGUGGUUUAAUUCGAAGCAACGCGAAGAACCUUACCAAAUCUUGACAUCCUUUGACAACUCUAGAGAUAGAGCCUUCCCCUUCGGGGGACAAAGUGACAGGUGGUGCAUGGUUGUCGUCAGCUCGUGUCGUGAGAUGUUGGGUUAAGUCCCGCAACGAGCGCAACCCUUAAGCUUAGUUGCCAUCAUUAAGUUGGGCACUCUAAGUUGACUGCCGGUGACAAACCGGAGGAAGGUGGGGAUGACGUCAAAUCAUCAUGCCCCUUAUGAUUUGGGCUACACACGUGCUACAAUGGACAAUACAAAGGGCAGCGAAACCGCGAGGUCAAGCAAAUCCCAUAAAGUUGUUCUCAGUUCGGAUUGUAGUCUGCAACUCGACUACAUGAAGCUGGAAUCGCUAGUAAUCGUAGAUCAGCAUGCUACGGUGAAUACGUUCCCGGGUCU
rnacentral:rRNA from 1 species